rnacentral:rRNA from 1 species
GCUCCAAUAGCCUAUAUUAAAGUUGUUGCGGUUAAAAAGCUCGUAGUUGGAUUUCUGCCGAGGACGACCGGUCCGCCACUGGGUGUGCAUCUGGCUCGGCCUGGUUGGGGGCAUUCGUAUUUAACUGUCAGAGGUGAAAUUCUUGGAUUUGUUAAAGACGGACUACUGCGAAGCAUUUGCCAAGGAUGUUUCAUUGAUCA